UGAUGCAGCCAUGCCGCGUGUGUGAAGAAGGCUCUAGGGUUGUAAAGCACUUUCASCSNNNAGGAAAGGUUGUAGAUUAAUACUCUGNAGCUGUGACGUUACUCGCAGAAGAAGCACCGGCUAACUCCGUGCCAGCAGCCGCGGUAAUACGGAGGGUGCAAGCGUUAAUCGGAAUUACUGGGCGUAAAGCGUGCGUAGGCGGCUGCCUAAGUUGGAUGUGAAAGCCCCGGGCUCAACCUGGGAACUGCAUCCAAAACUGGGCAGCUAGAGUGCGGAARAGGAGUGUGGAAUUUCCUGUGUAGCGGUGAAAUGCGUANAUAUAGGAAGGAACACCAGUGGCGAAGGCGACACUCUGGUCUGACACUGACGCUGAGGUACNAAAGCGUGGGGAGCAAACAGAAUUANAUACCCUGGUAGUCCNCSCCGUAAACRAUGUCUACUAAUUGUCGGGYCUCUUGCANACUUGGUAAUGAASCUAACGCRAUAANUANACCSCCUGGGGAGUACGGCCSCAAGGUUAAAACUCAAAUGAA
rnacentral:rRNA from 1 species